AAAAGAAUAAAAUUCAAGAUUUACUGCAAGUUGAAGGAUUACUAAAUAAGCAAUGCAUUUUCUCAAGUUGUAGGAAAGACAAUCCCUCUCACACAUGAUACCAAUCAGUUGUAAAUUGCAAGUUAAGUUAUUCUCUUAACAGGAUUCCCAUGUGCAGUGAGGCCCUUGUGAAGAAUUCUAGCUAGUUGAUUAGCACACUUUUCGGGAGGAUUACAGAGGCAAAAUUUUUCAUUUCAUUGCAUUCACUUCGAAUCAGGGCAGAAACAAAGAAGAAAGAAUCUAAUUAACUCUUCAUAACUUCAAUUAUCUGAGUAAAUUGCAAAUUAAUUAUAACCUACAAAAUGUUAAACUAAUGGCUCAAAUAUUGAAUAAGUUUUAACUGUCGAAGACUUUACACAACUUAUUAUUCAUAAUUUUCAAAACCACAAAUUCAGCGUACCUGAAGGCCUGCGAGAUCAAAUACUGGGUGGAAACUACUGAACACGCUCUAACUCCACCAAUUCCUCUUCGGGCACUACUCAACACAAUGCACAAUAUAAGUAAUUGAAGACCGGAUGGGAUGCGGCCGAAAGUGAAGACAAGUACGGCUACAGUUAACGCGUCCUCGUUGAAGAGGGAAAGCGAAGAUGGGCUUUUGGAGGUCGAUUUGACGGUUCGUCGAUCGUGCGUCCGGCAAUCGUCUUUCACAGCGGCGAUUGUUAGGGUUAGGGCUCCAAUCGCGUUCCCCCCCCCCUCUGUUGUUUAUUUUGUUUCAUUUCUUUCGUUCACUUCCCAUCAUGUUCCUUUUUUACAGCCAAGCUUUUUUGCCUUUUUU
rnacentral:lncRNA from 1 species